rnacentral:misc_RNA from 1 species
UUAAGUCCAGCGGGUCGUCCUACCUGAGUUGAGGUCAUUAUUGUUCGUGUACUCCAAUAAAGGGAGCAUGGCACUUUGCCAGUCGUCAAGCUUCGCCCAAAUGAAAAAGGAUUAGCACCGCAGAUUAGAGGUAUGAUAUAGGCGCUUCGACAAUACUGAUAAGAGUGAUUGCUACGACGCCAUCCCCAAGUUUGCGUAUU